UUCAAGAUUUCAGUUCUCAUCUUUGAAGACCCAUGUUACCAGAGGGAUUGUCUCACCCAUGUUAUCAUGGCCUCCCAUGACAGCAACACUCCAGGGAGACAACAGAGCUGCCAACCUCAGAGUGAAAUUCCUGGGUGCAGGAGCUGGAGCUUUCUCAAUACCUAGCCCACAAGCCUGACACUCACUCCCGGGCCCAUUCAACCUAAAUGAUAGCAUCUGCUGGGACUGGGGAAGCAGACAUGCAGAAUCCUCACAAAUGGAAAUGCCAGGGAUGGAUCAGAUACCAGAUGCACAGGUGAUUCGGUCCCAUCUCUUCUGCAGAUGAGAAGUUAGCCUGGUUGCUGAGCUGGCUGGUGGAAGGACAUCGUGAGAGAGGCCAAGAUUUCCAAAAGCGAGAGUGGAAGUGGAAACAGUUGCAGGGUUAGGGGCUUACAGGGUAUUUUUGUUCAACGUGGCCUUCAGAUUGACCAACACAUGGUA